UACGAAGGGUGCAAGCGUUACUCGGAAUCACUGGGCGUAAAGCGCACGUAGGCGGAUUGUUAAGUCAGGGGUGAAAUCCUGGAGCUCAACUCCAGAACUGCCUUUGAUACUGGCGAUCUUGAGUUCGGGAGAGGUGAGUGGAACUGCGAGUGUAGAGGUGAAAUUCGUAGAUAUUCGCAAGAACACCAGUGGCGAAGGCGGCUCACUGGCCCGAUACUGACGCUGAGGUGCGAAAGCGUGGGAGCAAACAGG
rnacentral:rRNA from 1 species